rnacentral:lncRNA from 1 species
GAAACAAAAAGGUGAAUAUUGACAGUAGCGGAAUUUUGUACGUCGUCAGUGCGUCACAAACUUGUUUAGCUUUUGCGCCAAACAGCGAUCCAUCUGACCUGGCAAUAUUCGGAAAUGUUCAGCAGAAGACGCUACAAGUUGUGUACGACGUGGGAGCAGGAAAACUAGGGUUUGGGCCACAAGGGUGUGCUUAAUUAUAUCAACUAUGUUACCAAGAUUUGUGGUGUUGAUAAAUGUAUUGAAAAUUGAUGAACAGCUUUAGGUCAUUGAAAGGAAUGAUUUUAGGCUAUGGAAUAACAGAAUUGUGACAAAGAUUUCAAGCAACAAAAGUAUAGUGUGCCUGUAAAAUCAAGUACAUAAGUGUAUAAAUUUUUUUUUUAUAUAUUAUAUAAAUUUACGAUAUCAAUCAUUAGAAUUUAGCACAACUAGCUUAAUACGGUAUUUAGCUUGUACUUGGCAUCUUAUAUCAAGCAUUUAACACACUUCCUGAAUAUCCAUCCAUAACAAGGGUGAUCCUGACUAUAAGCGAACAAAACUAUGUAGGGUCAACUUCUAUAUAGAAAUUUCAGGACCCCCACAGUCGAUUUCGACUAAGGCCUGGGGUCGGCCCUGACCCAAACAAACUAUAGCAUAGCUCACCUAACUCUCAAAACCCAGAGGGAAAACAGAAGCAUAGCUCAUGGUAAUUACUCAAUCAAAAUGCCAUUCUUGUUAUUCCUGAUCACUUUGGCAAUAGUUUAACUUAGCAUCGAUCACGGACUCACGGUAAUUAUGUUAGCCAAGCAAGUAGAUCCUAACAGAAAUAGCGGCUUACAAGCAUAACAAUCAAGCUACUGCAUAGCUCAUUUAACACUGCAGUCCAGAUAUAAUCUCAAAAACAGAGCUCAAAUAAUCGCUCAAUCAAGGUGCAGUUCUUGUUAUCCUUAACAAGUUUAGCAAAAGUUACACCUAACGUAACAAAGUUUUGUUAGCCUAGCUAGUGAAUCCAGAUAAAUUGCGGCUUAUAAGCAUAACAAUCCAGGCUACUAACAGAACUCACUUAAACAUCGCAGUAUACUCAAUCAACAUGCACAUUGCUUCUUGGAUGUUAGUCAUGAAUCGUAAUCAGUUGAGCAAACCUUAAACUAAGCACAUUAUGGUAAAAUUUUAGCCAAGCUGCAAAUUCUAAAGCAUUACUUAUCUGUUUUCUUAUAUUUGUUGACUGACUUUUUGGCACACGAUGAGAAGCUUUGGCAAGUUUUAGAAAUAUUAUUUUUGAAUUUUAAAUUAAAAAAUAUUAAUUUUAUUCACAAAAAUAAUAUUUCUAACUCUGCGAUCAAAGCUCUUCAACGUGUGAAAGAGGUACUGUAUACACAAGUAUAUAAAUGAACAUAGCAUUUCAUCAAACAGUUGUUAUGCUUUGGUUGUAUAAUACCAACCAUGCUUAAACUAAUCAAGAAAAAAGUAAAUUAAUUAAGAUAUGAAUUAAAUAUAAAUAAAAAUAGGUGGAUGCAUGGAUAUAUAUGUUCAUACCUCUGAUCUUUGAACGAUACUACAAGAUAUGUGAAUCCAAAUUUUUUGUAUUUUUUUUGAUAUUGUUGCUGCUGGGUUUUAUGAGAGUCCAGUCGUUCAACUUUGUAGGUAGAAAUUGCGGCCUUAUCGAACCUAGAGUAACGUUUCGUCUUGAUUUUGGUGGGCCGGCUCAGCUAAGGAAA